rnacentral:rRNA from 1 species
GACGAACGCUGGCGGCGUGCUUAACACAUGCAAGUCGAACGGAAAGGCCCCUUUGGGGGUACUCGAGUGGCGAACGGGUGAGUAACACGUGAGUAACCUGCCCUUGACUUCGGGAUAACUUCAGGAAACUGGGGCUAAUACCGGAUAGGAAUCCUUGCUGCAUGGUGGGGGUUGGAAAGCUUCGGCGGUUUUGGAUGGACUCGCGGCUUAUCAGCUUGUUGGUGGGGUAGUGGCUUACCAAGGCUUUUACGGGUAGCCGGCCUGAGGGGGCGACCGGCCACAUUGGGGCUGGGAUACGGCCCAGACUCCUACGGGGGGCAGCAGUGGGGAAUAUUGCACAAUGGGCGGGAGCCUGAUGCAGCAACGCCGCGUGCGGGAUGACGGCCUUCGGGUUGUAAACCGCUUUCAGCAGGGGCGAAGCUUGUGGUGACGGUACCUGCAGAAGAAGCACCGGCUAACUACGUG